UAAAAAUCCGAAAAUACCUUUAUUAUAUGCUCUUCAACUUCCUCUUUUCAUUAAAAGCGGCGGAGAUUAGAAAUUCCAAAUACUUUAGGAGAUAUCAAAUUUUUAAAUUUCAGCACAAAACCAGCGCAUUCCUGUGGCGUGCGUGGACCAUUGUUUCUUGUUUACGUACGAGUAUUUUUUUUUAUUGGAUAAUGUCGUCACGUGAUUGUUCGUGAUAGGCCAGAAUUAAAAUUAACUAAUACGUGAUUAUUUAGUUCAAUUAUUGUUUAAAACGGUGUUUAAUUACCGCCUCCAACUUAGGUGAGUUUUUAACGUUUCUAAUUUUAAAGUCUUAUUUGUUAUUUUGAUAUUGUUGCGCAAGUAAUAAGUAACAAAAAAAUUUACCUCAGUUGUUACUGUACAUCCUUUGUUACGGGUUUGUUAUGUAAGGUCAGUUACAUUAUAAAUAAUUUCUAACUAAGGAAUAAUUAAAAUUAAUUCACAUUAUUUUUAAUAUCACCUUAGUUUGAAAGUAUUUAUAAUGUAACUGACCUGACCUAAUCGACCAUUUUAGUUUACUGUUCACCCUUUGUCCGGGUUUGUUUGGUCAGGUCAGUUACAUUAUAAAUAUUUUAAAACUAAACAGCCAUUAAAAUUAAUUCACAAAAUAAUUUUUAAUGUCGGCUUAGUUUGAAAGUAUUAAUAAUGUAACUGACCUGACCUAAACAACCAUUUUAUUAAUUACGCAUUCACGAUUCACGUAUUCACGUCUCACGAACACACGGCAAAAUAACAAAAAUGGCGCCGCUCGUAUGGUUCCACAGGUCUUGUAUUGCAAAAUUAAAAAAUUCGAUAUCUCCUAAAGUAUUUGGAAUUUCUUAUCUCCGCCGCUUUUAAUGAAAAGAGGAAGUUGAAGAGCAUAUCAUAAAGGUAUUUUCGGAUUUUUAACAUUUUUUUUUUGCAAAUACCGCUCAACUCUAAUGAUGAAAUUUAAAAAUUCGAUAUCUCCUAACGUAUUUGGAAUUUCUUACCUCCGCCACUUUUAAUGAAAAGAGGAAGUUGAAGAGCAUAAAAUAAAGGUAUUUUCGGAUUUUUAACAUUUUUUUUCGGAAAUACCGCCCAAGUAAAUAUUUACCGAUGUCUGCUGUUUUAAUUCAGUACAUCGAAAGAUCCUGAUGGCAUGAACCUAUUGGCUUGCUCCUGUGGUACAUUAUGCUUGCUGUUUUAAUUCAGUACAUCAGAAUAUCCUGUACAUAAAAAAAAUUGUCAUAUAAUAAUGAAUUAUGAUCGUAAUUAGAAUAUAAAAUAUUUUAUUUUCGACCUACAACCAUAACUCUUUAUAAGUUCUGAAUUUAUUUUAUGUGCAGUGUCUUCCAACGUACUGAACUAAAAUAGCUAGCAUCAGGAUCAAGCCAACAGAUCCAGGGAUAAAUUUGGAUACAUGAAAUACCAGCCAUAACAAACGCAGAAUAUAUGACGAGUGUAAUCAAAGAAUUCCCUGGAAAGACUGCAAAAUUCAAAAGUGUCAGCUACUUCAGUGUACAGCAUGUAUUCCUCACAGAAAACGAAUGAUUUAACAAAUUUCAAUCAAUUAAAACUUUAGGCUCCCAUUAGACUUGUUCAUUACAGCACUCAAAAUCAUAUGUACUUUAAAUGUAAUGCAACAAAACAAACAUUUCAUACUACAAUUACAUACUUAUUCUAAUAAAACAAAAAGAAAAUGAAAUACAAGCAAUAAAAAUUCCUUAAACUGCAAAACAGUCAUUACUUAAACAAAUUUCAUUAUUACAACACCACCUACAUUGUCUAAAGUUCUCCAAAAAAUAAAAAUUUAAAAAAAUCUGCUGGGUAAACUAAACAAUGAAUGUCAGUAAUUGUGUGAAUACAUAGGCAGACCUGCCAACUCUCACGAUUUUGGUGUGAGGCUCACGAUUUUAAGGUCCAUCUCACGCCCUCACGCCAAAAUAGUGUUUCCUCACGAUUUUUCGGGGCCCCAAGAUUUUGUUUGUAAAAGUUACAAAACAAGUUUUACGAAAGCUUACAGUAACGAGUUUCCAUCAAUACUCGAGUCACGUAAAGGAAGCAAUUUUGCGUUUUGUAGCGUGUGCCGUGCUGAUUUUUCUAUCUCGCAUAGUGGAAGAGGAGACAUUGUGAAACAUGUCGCUACAAAAAACACAACUAACACGUGAAGUGUAUUGCUUCCAAUAAAAAAAUAAAUUUUGCUGUGAACAGUGAUAAUAGUGUUACACGAGCAGAAUGUUAUUUUACAUCUUUUUUAGUUGCGGCCCUGCAUGAUCACUACACGACAGCGCUAAAUAAUGUUCAUCUAAAUUAAAUCUUCAACCUAUAAUUUGUUGAAAUAAAGUUUGAAGCAGAGACCAUGUAACAUAUGUACAGGUAUGUCACUUAAAUUUAAAGAUUCUCAUUUGUUGUUUUUUAUAUCUAACCUGUAUUUAUGGGCCUGAAAUUUUUUAUCGAGGACCUCAUGAUUUUUUAAAUUUGAAUGUUGGCAGGUCUGCAUAGGUAUUGUAAUGUAAGCUUUAAAUUGUUAUUUUUUCACAAACCAAUAGGAAUUACGAAACCUUGUAGGGUUAAUUCAGGAACGUCUCUAGUAUAUGGAAAACAUAUAUUCCUUUUUAUCGCGGGUAAACAAUGAAUGGUGGCGGUAGCGUAAAAGCACAGAUAUUGUAAUGUAAGAUAUAUAAAAUUGUAAUUUUUUUCACAAACUAGUAGGAAUUACGAAACCAUUCGAUUGGAGUUGAAGCCAGGCCUAGGCACUAGACACGCAGCCUGACUCCAGUGGACAUAUCACUAGAAGAAAUUAAAUAGGUUAUAGUACCUAAUUUUUGUGGAGUUUGACGCGUAUUCAAAGAGAAGGCUAGGAAAAAUAGAAUUUUAUUAUAGACAAUCUUUAACAGCUUCAACAUAACAAUAAUAAAUGCGGUAAAUAUGUACAGUCGCGGUAGAUGCCAAAAAAAAAUGCAAAAAAUCCGAAAACACUUUUAUUCUGUGCUCUUUCACUUCCUCUUUUCAAAUCAACCGGCGGAGAUAAGAAAUUCCAACUACUUUCGGAGAUAUCAAAUUUUUUAAUUUUCAUCACAAUACCUGCGUAGUAUGCGGCGAUUACCAUUGUUUCUUGUCAUAGAUAAUAAGGUUUCUUGUUUACGAGUAUCAUGUUUCUUAUUGGACAAUUUUGUCACGUGACUUUUCCGUGAUUGGCCAGUAUUCAAAUGAACCAAUAUGUGAUUAUUUAUUCCGUGAUUGGUCAGUAUUCAAAUGAACCAAUACGUGAUUAUUUAUUCAUUUAUUGUUCAAUACGAUGUUUAAUUAAUCGGUCAACUUCUGCCGUGAACGACUACAUCAUUUCCUUAUAGUGACAAAGGAAAUGUACCCGCCUCCAACUUAGCGGCAUUUUACAAUGGCUGGGGAUAUGGAGAGCAAAUUCUCAGACUGCUGUAAACAAUCAGUCUGUGGAAGGUAUGCAGGUCACAGCCAGGAGGAGCUACAGUGCAGAUCGUUGUGCUAUAUGUUUACAUGAUCUUUCUUUGAUUGUGGAAACUAACUGUGGUCAUUUGUUUUGUGGUCCCUGCUUGGAGCAUUACUUCUUGUUAGGAAAUUACAUACUGCAACCAUUGACUUGUCCAGUCUGCAGAGAGCAGAUUUCUAUGGUGUUCCUAUGCUUUACAGCAGAAGAAGCAGCUUCUCAAGAUGAAACACUUGUUGACGAACGCAACAGUGUUAGAUACAUUGUAUUGCAGUAUAACAGAAGCCACUCAGGAAAUCCACGAACGGUUUUUGACUAUUUCCGGGACCUACCCAUUCUGCUCCGUCACCUGUGGCAAGACUUUUCAUCUCUUGGAAUGAUAAUGAGAAUAAGAAUGAUAGUGGGCAUUGUAGUUGGAAUGAUUUAUCUGUUUGUUCCUACUGACUUACUUCCAGAAGCAAUAUUUGGUGGUUUAGGUUUGUUGGAUGACCUGCUGUUUUUAUGUGUUCUUGCAAUGAUUAUACUCAAUUACUACAGAAAUUUUGUGAGCAAUAAUUUUAUUGAAUAUCAAUGAACAUUAUAAAUAAAAUUUAAAGAACAAAACAGUUUUUAAUUAAACAAUAAUCUGGAAUACACGUUGAACUAUUGAAUGUGAUUCCUAUACUUGACGUGGCAGGAGAUGUGAUUGACUUUCCAUUAAACUUUCACAUCAUGAACCAAAAUGGAACUUAACUUUUUCUACAGUGAUUUUUAAGAACUCUGGUUAUGAUUCAAUUUUUGAAAUACAUAUUAUUUUUUGCAGCAUUAAGUUAUUGGUUUCUUGCACUGCCAUUCUGUCACAGAAAAAAAGCUUAACAAAAUUAAGGCUAAGUUUGCAGUUUAUUUAAUAAUGUUUUGUUUGCUUAAACUAGUUUUAAUUAGUUACAUUUGUGAGUUAUUUUCUGUUUUUCUUCUUUAUGGUAGAAGUGCAUAUUACGUGUAUGUGCAAAUGUCUGUAAAUACGUUUUUUUUAUAGCAAUUUUUAAGCAAGCAAUUAUGGCUUCUUACCAUUUUUUUCCAUCCUGAAGCAUUCACAUUAUCUAAAGUUAAAUUUGUUCCUGAGUCAUGUACUCUAGUCUCAUAAAGGGUUCCAAUCCACAUGUGAUUGAUCCUUAUGUAAAAGACAGUUGUGACAUUAAUAUUAUAUCAUUAUUAAGGACUGUGUAAGGCAAGUGGUUGGUGUGCAUGCGGGAGUAUUGGUAAAGGAUGUUACCGUAGGAUAAAGAUACACAAAUCCAGAAAACUCUACUCUCAGGAACGUCUCCCAUGUGGGGAAUGAGACUCCGAUCUUCCUGAACACAAUUACCAAUGAAUUCCUUGACCUGGCCCACUUGGCAUCGGAAACACUUGACACACUAUUACCUUGUGGGCUUCAAGGCCAUCCACAUGCCUAAUGUCAGCAGGUUGUUGGCAUGUGGCCAAGAAACUACAUGUAAAUUUGUUAAGGCAUUUUUAGUUGUAUGAAUAUUCAAUACUUUUUCAUAACAGGGCAAUACAAACAGAUAAAGUGCCAUAUGGGACGAAUCAGUUCAGACGAGGUGCGGUGCACCCUUGUGGCCGAACGAAAUGCACGCCCCAACUAGGUAUUAAAUAUUUAUUAUUUAGAUUGUCUGCUGCUUGAGGCAGGGCCGGAGGGGGGCUGCACAGAAAGUGUUCAAGACGAUUACAAGCAAGAACGGAACUAGGUACUCGAUUAGUUAUGGCAACGAUGAACUCCUCGGGAUGAUGCAGAAUCCUCCCUCGGAGGACUAUAACUUCAGACUAUGGCGGCCAGUGUGUCUCUUCGCACCAAGAUGAUGCUCGUUAAAAGGUUAUGAUAUUGUGCCGUAGACUAAAAAUAUUACUUACACAAAAACAGUUUUAUAACUAAAACACAAUAUCUCACGUACACUUAACUCUUAUUACCUACAGUAAUUAAUUAUAUUAAAUUUAAAUAUGACCCGCUUGUAUUCGUUUGGGUCCUCUCAGCUCCAUCCAGGCUUGGCUUAUGAAUUAAACAUGAAUUAGCAAUUGGUGUAUUCCAGGGAGUCCGCUGAACAUACAUAACCCUUGUGAAUUAAAAUAAAAAAUAUUUUUUUUAAAUUUAUGUAUAAUUAAUUAUUGGUUUGUUUCACUGAAGUUACAGCAUUUGUCCUCCCAUUUUCUCAUAGUCAUGCCUGCAUUAUUCAAACACAUGAAACACAUCAUAAUAUACAGAGGUGGAUAAAUAUGCUGGUAAAGGAAGGAAAAGGAUGGAGUACUGAGAAGUCAUAUCGGGCUCUGUGGGGCGAAGCCCCUUGAUUGACAUUAGUACAUAACAUAAAUAACAAUAUAUAAUUAUGUGUACAUUAUUUUUCAUUCUCAGUUGGUUAGUUAUGGGUAUUCAGCUUUCAGUUGAAAGAACUUUGAAACACUUUUACCACAAAUUUUUUUUCUUGAACAUAAUUUGUUUAUAUGUGCUUGCUCUAAUAAACUAAUAAUUUAUGAACUAAAAUAAUAAGGCUGUGAUCAUCUAAAAAAUGUCUAAGACUUGCUAAUGGCAGAUUUAUAGAGAAUUUUUUGUAGUAAUAUUUUCAUAAUAAUUGAAUUAGUCUAUUGUAGAAUCAUUACAUAAGAUUUGAGCAACUGCUAUGUUAGUUUUUUGUAUAGGUAAUCCAUGUAAUUUUUGAAUAUAAAUAAAAUAAUCAUUUCUAUUUUUGAAUGUAGACAAAAUUGUGUCCAAAAUAAGUUAUAGUAUAAGAAGUUUUCUUUUUGUGUGUGCAGUAACCAUACUUCACUAACAAUUAGAAUAUUAUCUAGUACAGUCUUGAUUUGCUCUACAACAGAUGUAUUUAUUCAUCAUGUUCAUCAUGUUCAUUUUGGGUCAAUUGUGACAUACUUAAAACACUUUGUUGUGCUUUCCUUUAUUAUGCUUACUAGGUUUAUAUUCUAACUGGUAACUGUGCAUUAGGAAAAAGUGAUAAUUAUUCUGAAAUGUUAGUUAUGUUAACCUAAGGUUUUUAAACAUUUGCUAACUUAGCCAGAUCCAAAACAAUACCUGAUGUCUGAGAAAGAUAUCUGAUUUGUAAAUAGUGACUUGUAAAUAUUACAUAAUUUUACACUGUUGAAUUGCAGUUUUGAAAAUGCAGCAUAACCUUGGAGUCUCAAGUUAACAGAAAGAAGUUAUUAAGGGCUAUAUCUGUGUCACAGGAAAAGGAGCAAUGCAUUUUGAGAUAUGAGAAAGUAAAGUCUGUGGCAACUCUUGUGAGGAACUAGUGAGUGUGGAAAACAAGGUUCAAGUGAUACCUUUAUUAAAAAAGUGAUAUAAACAGUUUCAAGUCUCAAGCAAUAGCUUCAAAUAACAUUCAGCCAUAAACAAGAAGGUAGUAAUUAGUAAUUAAUUUCUGAAUACAUUCAAGCAGAUUUAAUUGGAGUCCACAGAAUUCUGUUUGGAAUGACAGCCAACAGUUGAACAUUAUGUUGUUUACCAUAAAAUACCUAACUCAUGUUUUGUAAAAUAUGAUGUUUCUAAGGGAACUUUUUCCCUUGCAACUUUGGGUAAACUGUUUCUCAAGUGAAGGAUUAGUGAAAAAGGGCUGAAUAACUGGUCACCUUGCUACCUAAUGGAUUUUUUUUAUAGUGUUCAGUCACACAUGUUGUGUACAUUUAGAAUAAUAGAAACUCUGUAACAUGUUUAUAUAAAUUUGAAAUUGACAGUUGCUUCAAUGUCUCUGGUUCUUAGGUAGCACAUGGUCAUCAGAAGUGCUCCCUUUGAAAUGAUUUACAGUUCACAAAGAAUGUAGAUGGAGUUCCUUAUAUAUUCUGUUUACAAUAAAUGUUUAGUUUUAAGUGUACCUACAAUAAGGAUGUGCAAUUAAAAUUCAGGAGCUCUUUCUUUAGACAUAGUAUAUAAAUUCUCGUUAAUCUGUGAAGUUGGGAAAGUGUUCAAACAAUUUAAAUGUAAACUGUUUUUAGUGCUUUUAUUUAAUUAUGUUUCUAACGCAGGCCUGCCACAAAUAUCAGUUUUUGAAUCCUGUUUGUCACAUUUAAAAAGCCUAUAACAUUUAGAAACUAAAUUUACUUUUGUUUACAUUUCAUUGUAAAUUUAACUGUAUAUGUUAAAUAAUUCAUAGGGUGUUUCAAAUGUUAUUUGAGAGACAAUAUUCAAAAGUCUUGGUUUACACAGUAGUAGCUUUUUUGCUUUUUUUUGCUCAAAGUGUACUUUUGAAGUAUUGUCCUUUUUUACACAAGAAAGUUCUUUUGAAGUAUAAAAAAAUUAAACCAUGUAUUUCAAGCCAUUAAAUCGUCACUGCUUUUGAAUCAGUUGUUGCUGAGAACUCAGAACUCUUUCCAUAGCAUUAUCGCUUUGCCAAAUUAUCAGCAUUGUAUCAGUAUUAUAUUUACAUCAAGUCAAAUAUCAGCAUUGUAUUCACAACUUUCUUAUGUGCUGAUAAAACCACCAAAUACUCUUGUUUAUGUUCACACACACUGUGCCAGUAUGAACCAGUGACCUGUUUUGGUAAAGCUGGUAUUUAUCCCCUAAUGGAAGCUGUGAUAAAUUCAUCAUUGUCUGCAUCAUCUGCCCCAAAUAAUAUUUGGUAACCUAUAGCAAGCAUCUCAGUUUUUUGUCAGUCUCUUGAUGGUUUGUUUCAGGAAUCGAGAGUCGUUGUUUUUGUUAAAACAUCAUCCUCAAGAGGCAAGUAGCGAUAAAGCUCUUUAGUUCUUGUUUGGUUGAACUUUCUGAUGUCCCCUAAGAAUUAUCAUCUCUGCUCAAGAACCAAAUUGCAGGUCUCUGGGAAACCUCAGUACGUAAAUAUUUGUUAACUCGGUUGUUGGUUUUUACACCUGACUUCUACUUUUGUGAUGCCACAUUUCUAAAAUAUGAAACAUUUUUCUCAACUUUUUCCAUAUUGCUUGAGUAACACACAGAGUUCAGAAUAGAGUUUAUAGAUGUAUAGCUUUCCUUUUUAAAAUAUGGUGUUGAAUUUAGAAAAUCUUGGCGGUACACUUGGAGAAACAAAAGUAAAGUUAAGCCAAAUAAGAACAUAUAAGUACUGUUUAUACAAUACUAGGUUCUGCCUUUCUUACUCAUCUAAAUAAUUAAAUGACUACAUCAGUCCAGACUAUGGCUAUAACAUGUGUUACACACUGUAAAAAAGCAACAAUGUCAGGAAACAUGGUAAAAUAAUGUUGUGUGAUUUGAGCCUUAAAUUCCAGAGUAUGUAUUCUUAAAUUCAUCUUUUCACUUUUGUGUGGUCUUCAAGUGCACAUAGAUUUAUUUUGAUAAUAGUUCACAUACUGUAGGCAUGAGAUGCUACUAGGUUAGCUAUGUAAGCAUAUGCAAUGCAAUAAAAUAACACAUUCUCUACUUUGUAUUAAUGAGAUUUAACAGCAUCAUAUGAAAGAACCUUGGACUGGUUUUUGUGUAAAACAGUAAAAUUUCCAUGCUAUUUCUUUAUCUGGAAAUAUUUGGGGAACUAGUUUAGUGAAAAGUUUUACAGGUAAAUUAUUCUUGCAGAGUUUCCCCAUAAUAGGUCUGCAACUAUAAUUUUGUUGUGUGUUUUUGUGACCAAACUGGUCAAAGAAACAGUUUUAUUAGCAGCUUGUUGAUUUCUUGUAUAAACUUGCCAACUUCCAUGUCUACGACUAUCUUUCAGUCCACCCUUUGUCAGGUUGAGUUGAAAACUGCUUGUUGUACAAAUGGCUAAAAGUAAAAUUUUACAAUGCUUAAGCCAUUUUUAAUCUCACUCCCUUUCUUAACGUUUAUGUUUGAACAAGAAACUGUCCAGCUCUGCCUUUCGUUUUCUCUUCUUUCAAAAUGGACAUCUUCUUUCAAAAUGGACAAAAAUUCAAAAAUACUGAACUCAAUUUAAUACAAACAUGUUUUUUGAAACCUGAAACUGCAAACAAUUUAUACACUUCUUUAGAUUUGGAAGUGUCAUUGAACCACCCUUCUAUGAAUUGUUUGCUUUUGGUUUUCUGCAUGCAGUUUAUUUUAGUGGUAAGUUAAUAUUCAAACAGGUGUAAAUUGAAUUGGAAAUUAUUGUUCAACCAUUACCUACUUUAAUUCUGGUACAUGACCAUUUUUUUUUUUCCAGUAGUUCAUUCUUGAAAACUGAUAAAAUUCCAUAAAAUGGUUUGCCUUUUUGGUCACAUUUUUGUACAGUUUUAAAAUUAUUUCACCUUCCAAUUUUAGGUUUUUAUUAUAUCCUUGAUACACUUGGUUAUUUGAGCUAAACACCUAUUCAUUUUUUUUAUAUAUAAUGAAAAUAACCAACAUUUAGUUUAAUGGUUACUGUGAGUUACAGACUUAACUUGUUCGCUUCUUGGAUUUUGAAUGGUUCUCCAUCUAAUUUAAAUAUGCCACCGGACUUACUGUCACACAAAAUUGGUUUGUUGAAAGUUUGAUGUAUAAGAUAAAAGAAAUCUUUAUGAACGGGAACUAAGAAAAGUAUUAAAACAAAUUACUUACAUCAUUGAGUUGUCUGUAAAAUACAGACUUUCAUUGCUUUGAGAAGUCUAUUGUUAAUUUAGACACUAAGAAAUUGUUAGUUACUAAAAACAUACAUUAUGUAUUGGUACUGGACAGUUCUUGAAAUUAUUUAGCAGCAGUUAGGAUCAGUUUUCACAACAUUGAAACCAAUGCCUUAAAACUUUUGAAAAUAUAGCAUAUUAUUUGGAUUUUGUGCAAUUUGUAAUAUUAUGGCUGACAAUUAUUAUAGUGAAAACUCAUUUUUACACUAGGGAAUAUAAUGAGAAAUUUGGGAAAGUGUAAAAACAGAAAAAAUUAUAAAACACUAUUAAGUUUUGGAAAAUAGAGAAAUGUGUAAGAUAUGGUAUUUCAGGGUGUCUACCCAUGUUGGGUCACAGAAUUCCUGUACAAUUCCCAUACAUUCCUGUACACUAAUAAAAAAGUUCAUGUACAUUUACAGCUUACACAAUCACUAAUUAGGAUAGUAGCAAUGUUAAAAAAAAUUGUACAAAAAAUGCUCACAAAAAAUAUUUUUACCAAAAACUUGUAUUUCAAGAAAAUUUGUCACAGGAAAGUUAGGCCUACCUUUGUGUUGAUAAAAUUUAGCUCAUUCUAGGUUACUUUGCACUGCAGCCAAACUUUGCCACAUGGCAACUGUCAAAUUUUUAACUUUUAUCUUUAGAGGCUGUAUAUAUACCUGUACCUACCAGUUUUGUUUUUAUUAUUUUUGUUUCCCAUGUCUGUAUUUUUGGUAUAUUUAACUUAUACUGUUUGUGUAUUAACUUUUAUUUGUUGACGUGUCCUAUACCAUUUGUACAAAUGUCUGUAUGGUCAAAUGGAUGAAAAUAAAUAAAUAAAUAAACUACACGCACCCAAAACAAUCGUGGCAGCAGCGCUGUUGUAGAAAGAUGCAUGUGACUGGCAUGACCUUGCGCGCAAUAUGCAACUUGCCAAAUGCCAAUUUUGCCAACCAAGUUCCUGUCCAACAGAGUACAGUACACCCGCCCCUCGAAGUAACACGGUAAUCCAUCCAAAGAAAAAUGGAGCACCAAUCAAAACAGCGCUAAACAAAUACGUUUUUGACAUGUUAAUGCAUGUUAAACAAAAUAACUAAAUACAUUUAAAGUACAAAUAAAAUGCAUGAAUUGCAUUUUGAGGAUUAAAAACCGGGAAUAACAAAAUACUAAAUUAAAAAUUUAGGCAGCGUAAUUGACCGGUACUUACAUGGCCUACUAACCUCACAAUAUCUUUAUUAAGCAGGCUCUAACACAUGUUUACUUUAUAAAAUAAUGUAUUAUUUAAAUGAAAACUUAGUUUCAAUGUUUUAUCGGAUUAGAUGAAUAAUUUUACGUUUUCUAUUAACAAAAAAAUUUUUUUUUCUGGAAACGUAAUGCGCUGUCAACUUUAACUAGUGCAACCUGGCAUGCAUGAGAUUAACUGACCUCGAAAGCUUCUGACCUUUCUCGCCAGAUGGAAGUAGUAGCAUAAACAUGGCUGUAUAAACACGCUGCAUGGAUAUAUAAACGUAAUUUUAUUGCUUGUAAAACUUUUAACUAGACAUAAGAAAACAGGCAUCGAAAAAUUGAAUAACUAUUACGGAAAAGUGAAAACUAACGUUUUUUUAAUUCAUUCUUUUAUUAAAAUUAUACAAGUGCCGAGAUUGAUUAUGUUGCACUGUGUUUGAUACAAGAGUGCCGUUGCCAUUAUGCGCGCGUGUAAAUUAAAAAUUUUUGUGGACGAAAAAGAACGCUACUUCAAAAAGAGCCCUAAUUAAUUGGCGCUAAUCGAGCAGCGUUACUUCGAGGGGUGGAUGUAUACUCACACAGAGCAGACUGGCUUGCAGCUGCCUCCGGCCGGCGCAAUUAACUUUGUCAUACGCGCUUAAUUUUUAUACACACGUGAUAAUGGUCGCUUGUAUACAAAAAUAAUACGACACGGCAUAUAAUAUGAUUUUUGAUUCGCGACCACUGAAAUCAGCAUAAAAUUCUUGCAAUAUACGCCGGCAAAUACUAUAUAUUUUGCAGGUAUGUUGUCUACUUUCUUCCGAUGUUCACAAAACGAAAACAAUUUGUUAAUAAAAAGAUUUCUCAUAAAUAACUUCUGUACAUACACAAAGAUGCAUUAUUAUUAUUAUUACUUACCAUUCGGACGAACUUUAACAAUAACCACACUAUACAACACGCAAAAAUAAACUGGAUGAAAAUUUAAGCCUGAGCGGGAACGACCAUUAACGAACGACCACAGUAACAAAAGAAACUGGGCGAGUCCACGCGCCUUACGCAAGUGGUUAUCACGAUUACGCGGCAACUUGUGUUGGUUGAUCCCAUCGUCUGAAUUCAGCACUCUGCAGUAAAGCACCAAUAGAUUGUAGAGAAGCAAUAAUCACACGAUUAACGAUUGUGUUGCAGUAAAAUCUUCGCUUUUUAAUAUUAAUAUAUAAAUGUUGUUGACGGGCGGGGAAAAGUCAAAAGUUCCCGGACAUCGGGAUAAAUUCCCGCAGAAUCCCUGUAUUUUUCCCGGGCAGUAUAAUUCCUGUACAAUUCCCGUUUAUCCCGGUCGGUAGACACCCUGUAUUUACUGUAUUGUCAACAUAUUUAAGUACCCUUGUCCACUAAUCAUGGUAGUAGUGUUCCUAGGUUCUAAAAAAAAUAAUUUGCACAAAGAAAAACAUUUUAUUAAGAGAAAAUUGUUACUAAGUAAUUAAUAUAUAGCCUUCAAAAUCUUAUACAGUAAAAACUCUUUUGUCCAGCAGGCUUGGAAGCUUAUUUGUGAAAGAUUAGCAAUUUUGUCAGAUUAUCAAACAUUAGUAUAGUUUCCAUGAGAAUAAAAAAAAGUACAGUUAUAUUCCAAACAAGCUAUAGUAAUUUGCUCUAUGGCUGUACACUAUCACACAGUUGUGAUAGGGUGCGAAUGUGUAUGUAACCCGCUAGACAACAGGAAUCCGCCGGAUAAAAUUUGAACGCGAGCUGCUAAAUCGAUGCCGGAUUAUAAUAUGGCAGAGUAAACAACGCCUUUUGUAAAUAAUGAUUGUACAUAAAAUUUAGGGUGUCUAUAAGUCACGAAAAUGUUUUGAAACACACAAUAUUGGUGUCAGAAGUCACAAAAUCUUAAUUUUGAGCAGCUUUUUCAUAACUUACCCUUUCUUAUGCCAGCUUUCAAUUUAUAUUUGCACAUUAAGUAUAAGUAGUUGGAAUGUAAAAAUUAUCUCGGAAUAUAUUUUAUCUUUCUUACACAUUCAUGUGAAAAAUAGAUAUAUUCCUUAUUAUGUUUAAUGUUGCUUAUUAUAUAAAAAAUUAUUGUGUGUUAUAAAUAAGUUAAAAUAAAAUUAUAUAAAAAUGUCCUAAAAAUGGUUUCUCAGGUGUCUGUUGACACCCUAAAUUAUCCCUGACUUUGUCAUAAGAAAAUGGACAGUGCCAUUGUAUUUAGGUUUUAUAAAGUAAUACUUUUUUAUUUUUAUUUUAUAGACUUAAGUUUUUUGUGAUCUAGUAACUCACUAUGGUACUGAUUUGAUUUUUUUUACACUGAUAUAUUAAAAGCUUCUAAUUUCCAAUGAAUAUUUUUUUCCAUGCUUUUAAGUUAUUAUAGACAAUUGUUUUCAAAUUUCUUAGAAUUCCAGAUGAAAUCAACAUGUAAUUUUUUAAAAGACAUUGGAAUGUAAGUAAGUAUAUUAACUGCAUUAAACUUAAAUAUCUUUGUGGUUUUACUAAAAGUUACUGAGUGUUACUUAGGUACAAAGUUUUUUUAGUACUAUGUCAACUCUUGCAGUGUUAUAAGUUAAAAAUUAAUAACAUUUUUGGUGAAUGUCUCUGUCAGUUGCUGCUACCUUAUCUGUUAAUAUUUUUAAGUGAGCAAAUACUAUACCUAGCUGUUUUGAUUCUGUUUGUUAGUGCAUAAAAUGGUACACUUAUGAUUAUAUUUGCCUCUUGACAUAGUAAAAAUUCAUAUUGUGUAGAUAUAUUAUUUCCAUCUUUAAGACCUUUUAUUUUGUAAAUGAUUUAUUAGUAGAGUCAUUAGGCAGUAAAAUUUAAAAAAAAAAUUGUACCUAAUACUAAAGUAAAUAUAUUACAAACCAUUUCAUAACUUUUUUCAUCAUAAAAUUAUUUUGUGAAACAAUAAAUUGCUCACUGUGUGUAUUGAAAUGUUGCGAGUGUUAAGUAAAUUUGUACAAACAUUUAUUUUUCCAUUUUUGCAUUGUAUAUGGAAAUAAAUUUUGUAAACUCA